rnacentral:tRNA from 1 species
CGGGGCGUAGCGCAGCCCGGUAGCGCACUUGAAUGGGGUUCAAGAGGUCGCACGUUCGAAUCGUGUCGCCCCGACCA